rnacentral:rRNA from 1 species
UGGGGGAUAUUGCACAAUGGGCGAAAGCCUGAUGCAGCGACGCCGCGUGGGGGAUGAAGGCUUUCGGGUUGUAAACCUCUUUCGCUAUCGAACAAGGCCCGCUUAGGGUGGGUUGAGGGUAGGUGGAGAAGAAGCGCCGGCUAACUACGUGCCAGCAGCCGCGGUAAUACGUAGGGCGCGAGCGUUGUCCGGAAUUAUUGGGCGUAAAGGGCGUGUAGGCGGCUUGUUGCGCCUGCUGUGAAAACGCGGGGCUUAACUUCGCGCGUGCAGUGGGUACGGGCAGGCUUGAGUGUGGUAGGGGUGACUGGAAUUCCAGGUGUAGCGGUGGAAUGCGCAGAUAUCUGGAGGAACACCGAUGGCGAAGGCAGGUCACUGGGCCAUUACUGACGCUGAGGAGCGAAAGCAUGGGUAGCGAACAGG